ACAUUUCGCGAAAUCUACACAGCCUUUUGCUAGGGUGCACACACCGCUCCAAACGCUGGAGUUUUUAUUUAUGUAAUCUCCCCCCACACCCUUUUCUUCCCUUCGCAGUCUUCUCGCCAAAAAAUUCCCUAGAAAACCAGCUUCUAAGGCGUGUGGGGAGGAAAUCGGUUGUGUGUGGGGCUUCCCCCCUUUUUUUCUUUUUAGGUGGGGGGUGUUGUUGUUUCAUUUGAUUUCUAUUUCAUUGUUUUGGUGGUUGUUCUUUUCUUUGGCUUUUCCGAAAUGCUUUUUGUUUUGUUUAUUUUGACACCCACCCAACCCCCCUCUUUCGCACACAUAAGUGGAGAAGAUGUGGCAAGGUAGGUCUCUCUGCACUCUGUCUCGCUCCCUCUGUGUCUCUGUUGUGUUUGUGUGUGGUGUGUGCACUUGUGCUUUUGCUUUUUGCAAAGUUUUCUGAUUUCAGUUGCCGGAUGCUUUUGCAAAGAGCAGACUUUGCUGAUUUGCUGUUGCUGACUGCCUUUUGGAAAGCUGCACGAUGCAUUGGCCAGCAAACCCUCCCUUUAGGAAAGCAACAAGGAGGGGAAAGUUCUCUAGACUGCCAUGGGUUGUAUUUGCAGUGUGUUGAAUUGUGUUUUUUGCAAGGGGAGAAAUUAAAAGCGGUGGGGUGGGGGAGCAUGCCACCUUGGGAGGAUAAAGGUGAUAGAUCUCCCUGCCCAAUCUUUUUAAAAAGCCCUGUCAAAAUUGGGGAGAGGGAAUACAUAUACAUGAAUGAAGUUUCCACCCAUCUGGGGCAGACCUUGCUGGUCUCAGUUUGCUAUACUGGGGCAAAGGGGAGAAGUGCUUUAUUAAUGAAUGAAAUACUGAUUACAUAAAAGCUGUGCAAUGUUGCUGCAGAAUCAGGGCAAAGGUAAGGAAAGAAAGAUAUUUUGGGGGCAUAGAGGGAUUAGCCAGCAAACUCUCAGAUGGGCUAUAUAGAGGCAGAAUGAGAUGUGGGUCUAUAGGGAGAGGAAACCAGGACUCCAAGAGUCUUCUUUGAUGCAAGAGUGAGAAACUGCCACAGUCUCCAACCACCUGUAGAGGGAAAUCUUUAUACACAAUAAUUCCCCCUCCCUCAUAGCGGUGUCUAGAAGAAAAUGAAAGAGAACAACCAAUUCCAAACUUUGGUGGGAAUGCAAGAGCCAGAUUUAUUCAGGGGUGUCUGCAAAUUGCCCAUACUCUUUUUGGCAAUUCUCUGUUGGCUCACAGGAAGCCAAUGGGAAACAACACACCGAUCCUUUGGCACCCACUCGGGCUGUCUUCAGUGCCGUUCCUCUUGAAGAAGUGAAUAGCAACAGAUGUCUUGCCCGAGAAGUUCUGAUUUAUCGUUCAUUUCAAGGUGCUUUCAGGAUAGUGGCUAUUCCAAGCCUGUGUUUUUGUUCUUUGUAAAGUCAGCCCUAGAAAUUAGUAGCUAUCACGACUGCAGUCCUGAGCAUACUUUAAACUAGGGUGCAAGUCCCACUGAACUCAUCUGGCACAUACUUGUGAGUUAGCAUGGUUAGGGGCACAUGGCACUCUGUCCAGGAGAAUGGGGAAGAUCCUGGUUUUUGACCACCCCUUUGCCCCAGGGAGAAUUUGGUUCAACUCCAGGUUGAUUAUGAACAGGGAGUCGGGAAGGAAGAGAGAGAUAGCAAGCAAGAGAGAUUUUACUGCUACUUGUGGUGUUGACGCUACAACAUCUUUUAACUCUGCUUACAGUGACCCUGAUUCUGACAGUUGUGUGUACACUGGGAGCUGCUUCAUUAGAAUCCCAUGUAGAACAAACUGUGGAUUCAGGGACAGGAGCUGCAGAGUGGAAGGCUACCAUCGCAUAGUGGUAGACUGAAUAUUUCAGCUUACGCCUGAAAAAGACUCGGAGAGCUGGGAGUCUUAAACCUAAAGUUCAUGUUUAUGGCACUGUAGGAUGGAAGAGCAACAGUAUACAGACCUACGGUGGUGAACCCAACAUUGUAGUCAAAAGACCGGUGCCUCAGUCGUGCUGUGACGUCAAAGGCUGUAACGUGCCUAGCUUUAGUCAAGGCUUUCAGUCCUCUUUGGAGUCUUGCUAUCAGGGCCGAUCACAUAUUUCUCUUGAUUUGCAAUGAUGCAUGGACUGCGCUUUAGGUUAUAAACUACCAAACACCCCUCAAGUCACAAUGCUAAUUUAAGUACCCUUUGGUUUCUAUGCCUUAUCUUAUAUAGCCAUUUAUGUCCUGAAAUGGAUACAUGCAGGCUAAGCCACAAUAUCCCUCGCAUCAGCAGUCAGAUUCACUGUAGAACGUAAAGUCUACAAUAGUCAUCUCUGGCUGUUUUGAGUGGCUUAAUGAAUGGUGGCAAAGGGCAGAACAAUGGUUGAUUUCCCCCUGCUCUCUUCAUUGUUGCACCAGGUGGCUUCAGUCAUUACGUGCCAUAAGACUUCUUCAUAAGGCUUGGUGCCACUAGUUGGACAGCUGUUGCUUCUGUUAAAUUGUUGAUCUUCUCAGACCUACCAGAAGUGGUCCACCCUCCUGCCCUGCCACCUCACCUGGGGGCUUCAAAUCGGAAAACACAAAACCAAAUCCAAGUUUACAUGAAACUUCCUGAUUUGUCAAUCAAAUUCUGCUCUGGGCAACUCAUUUUUGCCGUAUCCACAGUUAGACAAUUAGACGAUGCUGUAUCUAGUGAGCUAUGGUUCUGCUUCUUGGGUCUCAAGCUGAAUGAAACCAUAAUGGGUCAAUGGCAUAACAUUUUAGGGCAGCCCUAGGUGAUGGGAGCCUUUCUUAACAGGAACAAUUUACGAGCUCUUUUCAUGGACGCUCUUAGUUGCAAACCUGGACACAGCUAUGCCUGUAUCAGUCCCAUUCAACUUAAUUGGGCUUAUGUACAGUGGAGAAUUGAAGCCAUGAAGAGGAAACUGAUGCAUUUGGUCCAUGUUACUGACAAUGAAGUGAUUGACUGGUAGCCAUGGAAUAAACCCGGAAUCAAAAGAGUAUGAACAUAUAAGGGACCGUUUUGCAAAGGUGAAAACAUACUUCACUUUAGUGCAGAAGAACAGAAAUAGAGAAUGGUGCUCAAUCUGACC